rnacentral:lncRNA from 1 species
CUAUUAAUAAUAGCUAAAGGACUCAAGGGUCCUUGAAUCUUUUAAUAAUAACGAAGGGCAAAAUAUAUUAUGUAAACUCUUUAGUAGUCCUUCAUAAAUACGUUGAAUAAUGAAGUAAAUAAAUAGUUGUGCUUGAAUUUUUAAACAGUGAGUGAGCUACAAGUCCUACAUUGGAAUAUUUUGGAUUUAAAAAAUUAAUACGUUCACUGAAGGAAAAUGUAGUUCCUUAAUUAAAUCUUCAUAAUACUUCCAUGAUUAAGCAGAACACCAGAAGAGGAUCAGAAUUUUCUUGUGCUGAAGCACAAAGGAAGAAACAAUUAAUAAACUUGAUCGAAUGUCUGAUUUUUUUUUUUUUUUUGACGAUGAUAAUGUUUCAUCUUUAUCUGAAUUGAAGGGAAAGUCAAAUUUUUAAUUACGCUCCAGUUAUUUGGCUGGAAAAUGAAGGUCAAUUUUUAUUCAUAACUAAAAACUAUGUAGGUCUAUUAAAAUGUAAUUAUCAUAUUGAAAAUAUUAAUUGAUGUAU